ACCAGGACUAACCAGCGGGGCAGUGGACCAGGACUAACCAGGUGGGCAGUGGACCAGGAACUAACCAGGGGGGCAGUGGACCAGGACUAACCAGUGGGGCAGUGGACCAGGACUAACCAGGGGGGCAGUGGACCAGGACUAACCAGUGGGGCAGUGGACCAGGACUAACCAGCGGGGCAGUGGACCAGGACUAACCAGGUGGGCAGUGGACCAGGAACUAACCUCUGUGCGGGGGAGGAAGUCCGGGUCGGCCUGGAUCCUAGCGAUGAUCUCACACAGGAUGAUACCGUAGGAGAACACGUCGGCCUGGAAAACACACACACACACACACACACACACACACACACACACACACACACACACACACACACACACACACACACACACACACACACACACACACACACACACACACACACACACACACACAUAAAGAAAUCUGUUUCUGAACUCACCCAC